CGUGGAGACAGGUGGUGCAUGGCUGUCGUCAGCUCGUGUCGUGAGAUGUUGGGUUAAGUCCCGCAACGAGCGCAACCCUCACCCCUUGUUGCCACCAGGUAAAGCUGGGCACUCUAGGGGAACUGCCCCGGUCAACGGGGAGGAAGGCGGGGACGACGUCAAGUCAUCAUGCCCCUUACGUCCUGGGCUACACACGUGCUACAAUGGCCGGUACAAAGGGAUGCGACACCGUGAGGUAGAGCUAAACCCAAAAAACUGGCCUAAGUUCAGAUUGCAGUCUGCAACUCGACUGCAUGAAGGAGGAAUCGCUAGUAAUCGCGCAUCAGCCCGGCGCGGUGAAUACGUUCCCAGGCCUUGUACACACCGCCCGUCACACCACGAAAGCUGUCUGUACUCGAAGUCGCUGAG
rnacentral:rRNA from 1 species